rnacentral:rRNA from 1 species
AGGUGRACYUGCGGAAGGAUCAUUUGUCGAWUCCUACAAAAUGCAAAUGACUAGUGAACAUGUGUUUUCAAUUGAGGAGGUGGGUAAUUGGGUUUAAMCCUUGUUGCCCAUCUCUCUYUCGGUCAAUUGGUGCCUUGCACGGUUCCCGGUUGCACCUUAUAACAAAUUAAAAAUUCGGCGCGAGAAGCGCCAAGGACUAUACUAAAGGAAUACCUCUUGGCAGUCCGGUUGUUUGCAACCAUGGGUUGUCAAGGUUAAGGYUCCAUUUAAAUYUAAAACGACUCUCGGCAASGGAUAUYUAGGYUCUCGCAUCGAUGAAGAACGUAGCAAACUGCGAUACUUGGUGUGAAUUGCAGAAUCCCGUGAACCAUGGAGUCUUUGAACGCAAGUUGCGCCCGAAGCCAYUAGGUUGAGGGCACGUCUGCCUGGGCGUCACMCAAUGUGUCGCCCCCUUGCAACUCGCCUUGCACGGGAUGAGUGUUGCUAAUGGGGGCGGAGAAUGGCUUCCCGUGCAUAGGUGCGGCCGGCCUAAAUUGUAGUCCCUCAUCUCGCAGGUUCACAACAAGUGGUGGUUGAAAAGCUUAAACAAGUUGUGCACACCAUGCGAUGGAGGUGAUGUUUUGGACCCUAAGGCAAUCCCUCUAUUGUGARGARCGUUUGUCACGACUGCGACCCCAGGUCA